rnacentral:rRNA from 1 species
GACAGAGGAGGCAAGCGUUGUUCGGAAUCACUGGGCUUAAAGCGCGUGUAGGCGGUCCGGAAAGUGUCGCGUGAAAUCCCACGGCUCAACCGUGGAACGGCGCGGCAAACUCCCGGACUUGAGGUUGGUAGAGGUGCCUGGAACUCUAGGUGGAGCGGUGAAAUGCGUAGAUAUCUAGAGGAACGCCAGAGGCGAAAGCGGGGCACUGGGCCAAAUCUGACGCUGAGACGCGAAAGCGUGGGGAG